UUUGAGUAGAAAAGCAGAAAGGUGAAAUGUCAAUGUUUUUGAAUUUUCAGAUAUCCUUAAGACGAAGCCAUCAUUUAACACAUCAGGCAGAGCUGUCAGAGUGGUUGCAGCCAUGAGUAGAGCACCAUCAUCAGCCAGCUCUUCUUUAGAAACCCAAAGACAGCAGUCCCCUGAUAGCUCCUUAUUCUAGAGCAAAGUCAUGGAUUUGCAGUCAGAUGACUAAGACAAAAGAAUAAUUCCAGAUCCUGCACAGUACAAAUAGCAACAUCUUUCCCAGGAGCCUCCAUCAG
rnacentral:lncRNA from 1 species